AGGUAGGAGAACAUUAGCACUAAUGUACCGGACCAUAUAAGAACUCUGUAGUUAAGCGUGCUUAGGUGAGAGUGGUUCUAAGUUGUGUGACCUCCUGGGAAGUUCCCGAGUCGUAUAUA
rnacentral:rRNA from 1 species